GCAGAGGUAUCGAAGCCCGGCCAACCGAGAGGGACUCAAGAUCCCUUCCCUCAGGGGUUCGUGGGUUCAAAUCCCACCCUCUGCA
rnacentral:tRNA from 1 species